UACGUAGGGUCCGAGCGUUGUCCGGAAUUACUGGGCGUAAAGAGCUCGUAGGUGGUUUGUCGCGUUGUUCGUGAAAACUCACAGCUUAACUGUGGGCGUGCGGGCGAUACGGGCAGACUUGAGUACUGCAGGGGAGACUGGAAUUCCUGGUGUAGCGGUGGAAUUCGUAGAUAUCAGGAGGAACACCAGCGGCGAAGGCGGCGCUCUGGGCCGGGUACUGACGCUGAGGAGCGAAAGCGUGGGGAGCGAACAGG
rnacentral:rRNA from 1 species